GACGGGGGGGGCAAGGGUUCUUCGGAAUGACUGGGCGUAAAGGGCACGUAGGCGGUGAAUCGGGUUGAAAGUGAAAGUCACCAAAAAGUGGCGGAAUGCUCUCAAAACCAAUUCACUUGAGUGAGAAAGAGGAGAGUGGAAUUUCGUGUGUAGGGGUGAAAUCCGUAGAUCUACGAAGGAACGCCAAAAGCGAAGGCAGCUCUCUGGGUCCCUACCAACGCUGGGGUGCGAAAGCAUGGGGAGCGAACAGG
rnacentral:rRNA from 1 species